AGCGCGGUGGUCCCACCUGACCCCAUGCCGAACUCAGAAGUGAAACGCCGUAGCGCCGAUGGUAGUGUGGGGUCUCCUCAUGCGAGAGUAGGGA
rnacentral:rRNA from 1 species